UACGGGGGGGGCAAGCGUUGUUCGGAAUUACUGGGCGUAAAGGGCUCGUAGGCGGCCGACUAAGUCAGACGUGAAAUCCCCCGGCUUAACCGGGGAACUGCGUCUGAUACUGGACGGCUUGAAUUCGGGAGAGGGAUGCGGAAUUCCAGGUGUAGCGGUGAAAUGCGUAGAUAUCGGGAGGAACACCUGUGGCGAAGGCGGCCCCCUGGUUGGAUACUGGCGCUGAUACGCGAAAGCGUGGGGAGCAAACAGG
rnacentral:rRNA from 1 species